GAUGAACGCUGGCGGCGUGCUUAACACAUGCAAGUCGAACGGAAAGGCCCAAGCUUGCUUGGGUACUCGAGUGGCGAACGGGUGAGUAACACGUGGGUUAUCUGCCCUGCACUUCGGGAUAAGCCUGGGAAACUGGGUCUAAUACCGGAUAGGACCACUUCUUGGAUGUUGUGGUGGAAAGUUUUUUCGGUGUGGGAUGAGCUCGCGGCCUAUCAGCUUGUUGGUGGGGUAAUGGCCUACCAAGGCGUCGACGGGUAGCCGGCCUGAGAGGGUGUACGGCCACAUUGGGACUGAGAUACGGCCCAGACUCCUACGGGAGGCAGCAGUGGGGAAUAUUGCACAAUGGGCGCAAGCCUGAUGCAGCGACGCCGCGUGGGGGAUGACGGCCUUCGGGUUGUAAACUCCUUUCGCUAGGGACGAAGCGUUUUGUGACGGUACCUGGAGAAGAAGCACCGGCUAACUACGUG
rnacentral:rRNA from 1 species